rnacentral:rRNA from 1 species
GCCAGACUCCUACGGGAGGCAGCAGUCGGGAAUAUUGCGCAAUGGAGGAAACUCUGACGCAGUGACGCCGCGUAUAGGAAGAAGGUUUUCGGAUUGUAAACUAUUGUCGUUAGGGAAGAUAAAAGACAGUACCUAAGGAGGAAGCUCCGGCUAACUACGUGCCAGCAGCCGCGGUAAUACGGAGGAUGCGAGCGUUAUCCGGAUUUAUUGGGUUUAAAGGGUGCGUAGGCGGGACGGUAAGUCAGCGGUAAAAAUGCGGAGCUCAACUCCGUCGAGCCGUUGAAACUGGCGGGCUGGAGUUGGAGAGAAGUACGCGGAAUGCGCGGUGUAGCGGUGAAAUGCUUAGAUAUCGCGCAGAACCCCGAUUGCGAAGGCAGCGUACCGGCUCCACACUGACGCUGAGGCACGAAAGCGUGGGUAUCGAACAGGAUUAGAUACCCUCGUAC